rnacentral:rRNA from 1 species
GAUGAACGCUGGCGGCGUGCCUAAUACAUGCAAGUCGAGCGAACGGACGAGAAGCUUGCUUCUCUGAUGUUAGCGGCGGACGGGUGAGUAACACGUGGAUAACCUACCUAUAAGACUGGGAUAACUUCGGGAAACCGGAGCUAAUACCGGAUGAUAUUUUGAACCGCAUGGUUCAAAAGUGAAAGACGGUCUUGCUGUCACUUAUAGAUGGAUCCGCGCUGCAUUAGCUAGUUGGUAAGUUAAUGGCUUACCAAGGCAACGAUGCAUAGCCGACCUGAGGGGGGGAUCGGCCACACUGGAACUGAGACGCGGUCCAGACUCCUACGGGAGGCAGCAGUAGGGAAUCUUCCGCAAUGGGCGAAAGCCUGACGGAGCAACGCCGCGUGAGUGGUGAAGGUCUUCGGAUCGUAAAACUCUGUUAUUAGGGAAGAACAUAUGUGUAAGUAACUGUGCACAUCUUGACGGUACCUAAUCAGAAAGCCACGGCUAACUACGUG